rnacentral:rRNA from 1 species
CCUACGGGUGGCAGCAGUGAGGAAUAUUGGUCAAUGGACGAGAGUCUGAACCAGCCAAGUAGCGUGAAGGAUGACUGCCCUAUGGGUUGUAAACUUCUUUUAUAUGGGAAUAAAAUGUUCCACGUGUGGGAUUUUGUAUGUACCAUAUGAAUAAGGAUCGGCUAACUCCGUGCCAGCAGCCGCGGUAAUACGGAGGAUCCGAGCGUUAUCCGGAUUUAUUGGGUUUAACGGGAGCGUAGGUGGAUUGUUAAGUCAGUUGUGAAAGUUUGCGGCUCAACCGUAAAAUUGCAGUUGAAACUGGCAGUCUUGAGUACAGUAGGGGUGGGCGGAAUGCGUGGUGUAGCGGUGAAAUGCUUAGAUAUCACGAAGAACUCCGAUUGCGAAGGCAGUUCACUGGACUGCAACUGACACUGAGGCUCGAAAGUGUGGGUAUCAAACAGGAUUAGAUACCCUGGUAGUC